rnacentral:tRNA from 1 species
GGCGACAUAGCCAAGUGGUAAGGCAGAGGACUGCAAAUCCUUUACCCCCGGUUCAAAUCCGGGUGUCGCCUCCA